UACGUAGGGAGCAAGCGUUAUCCGGAUUUAUUGGGUGUAAAGGGUGCGUAGACGGGAAAAUAAGUUAGUUGUGAAAUCCCCAUGCUUAACAUGGGAACUGCAACUAAAACUGUUUUUCUUGAGUGCUGGAGAGGAAAGUGGAAUUCCUAGUGUAGCGGUGAAAUGCGUAGAUAUUAGGAGGAACACCAGUGGCGAAGGCGACUUUCUGGACAGUAACUGACGUUGAGGCACGAAAGUGUGGGGAGCAAACA
rnacentral:rRNA from 1 species